rnacentral:rRNA from 1 species
GAUGAACGCUAGCGGCAGGCUUAAUACAUGCAAGGCGAAGGGGCAGCAAUGUCACUGUCGUACGGGUGCGUAACGCGUAUGCAACCUACCUAUCACUGGGGGAUAGCCCGGGGAAACCCGGAUUAAUACCGCAUAAAACAGGGGCACCGCAUGGUGAUAUUUGUUAAAGAUUUAUUGGUGAUAGAUGGGCAUGCGUUCGA